GUGCUCACUUCAGCAGCACAUACACUAAAAUUGGAAUGACACAGAGAAGAUUAGCAUGGCCCCUGUUCAAGGAUGACAUGCAAAUUUGUGAAGUGUUCUAUACAAAA
ensembl:snRNA U6 U6 spliceosomal RNA